rnacentral:rRNA from 1 species
AUACGGAGGGUGCAAGCGUUAAUCGGAAUUACUGGGCGUAAAGGGUACGUAGGCGGUUAUUUAAGUUGGAUGUGAAAGCCCUGGGCUCAACCUAGGAACUGCAUCCAAAACUGAAUAACUUGAGUGUAUAAGAGGUUAGCGGAAUUCCAGGUGUAGCAGUGAAAUGCGUAGAUAUCUGGAGGAACAUCAGUGGCGAAGGCGGCUAACUGGUAUAACACUGACGCUGAGGUACGAAAGCGUGGGGAGCAAACGGGAUUAGAAACCCUAGUAGUCC